CCGCUUCCCCCGACCAUGCCCCCUCCACCUUAACCCCGCCCCAACUCCGCCCCCAGCCCCGUCUCCAGUCUCCGCCCACGGGCCGGGCCGCAGGGCCACCCCUGGACCCGUUCUGUGGGUGCCCUGGGCCACCCCGGCACUGCCCAGGGCCGCCUCUCCUGUGCCCCCCGUGACUGGGACAAGCGAGGGGCAGG